rnacentral:rRNA from 1 species
GACGAACGCUGGCGGCGUGCUUAACACAUGCAAGUCGAACGGAAAGGCGCUGAGUUUGUGGGGUGCUCGUGUGGCGAACGGGUGAGUAAAACGUGAGUAACCUGCCCUUGACAUUGGGAUAACUUCUGGAAACAGGGGCUAAUACCGGAUAGAAGCUCCUGCUGCAUGGUGGGGGAUGGAAAGAUUCGGUGGUUGGGGAUGGUCUGGCGGCUUAUCAGCUUGUUGGGGGGGUAGUUGAUUACCAAGGCUUUGACGGGUAGCCGGCCUGAGAGGGUGACCGGCCACCUUGGUCCUGCGAUACGGCCCAGACUCCUACGUUACGCAGCAGUGGAGAACAUUACACAAUGGGCGGAAGUCUGAUGCAGCAACGCCGCGUGCGGGAUGACGUCCUUCGGGUUGUAAACCGCUUUCGCCUUUGCCGAACCGUGAGUGACGGUAAUUGGUAAAGAAGCACCGGCUAACUACGUG